AUGGCACCUUCGAAGAUCCGCAGUGUUCUGCUCCUCCAUAGCCUGUGGAUUCAAAGCGGUGCCUAGAACGAAGCCAAUGCCGUUACCAGAAACAAAAAAACAUUGUGACGGCAGAUCUGUAUCAAUCGAGCUCCACGCGGCGUGAUUGCGUGGAGCGAUGCGUGU
rfam:Cyberlindnera jadinii NRRL Y-1542 unplaced genomic scaffold CYBJAscaffold_2, whole genome shotgun sequence.